rnacentral:rRNA from 1 species
GAUGAACGCUGGCGGCGUGCCUAAUACAUGCAAGUCGAGCGAACAGACGAGGAGCUUGCUCCUCUGACGUUAGCGGCGGACGGGUGAGUAACACGUGGAUAACCUACCUAUAAGACUGGGAUAACUUCGGGAAACCGGAGCUAAUACCGGAUAAUAUAUUGAACCGCAUGGUUCAAUAGUGAAAGACGGUUUUGCUGUCACUUAUAGAUGGAUCCGCGCCGCAUUAGCUAGUUGGUAAGGUAACGGCUUACCAAGGCGACGAUGCGUAGCCGACCUGAGAGGGUGAUCGGCCACACUGGAACUGAGACACGGUCCAGACUCCUACGGGAGGCAGCAGUAGGGAAUCUUCCGCAAUGGGCGAAAGCUUGACGGAGCAACGCCGCGUGAGUGAUGAAGGUCUUCGGAUCGUAAAGCUCUGUUAUUAGGGAAGAACAAAUGUGUAAGUAACUAUGCACGUCUUGACGGUACCUAAUCAGAGAGCCACGGCUAACUACGUG